rnacentral:pre_miRNA from 1 species
ACAACAUUCGGACCGUCGGUCUACCGAGCAAUAUCACCCGUUUGGAGGAAGAUCUUCGUCGU